CUGAAGCCGUUACCGCCAUCUUUAUUGAGAACAGAAGUGCUGCCCACGGUGCUGAACGGAGCUGGGAGUUUCUCCGCUACUCUGCCACCGCCCUCCCUCUCAUCCUAGUGCGCUAUUCCAGCGUGGCUUCCUAGUCUUUCUUCAGACCGAGAAUCUCGUCUCCCUUUAGAGCGCUAGUUCCGAGCCCUAACACCCAUUUUGGUUUGAAAAUGUGCUGUCAUCGGUCUGGGAAGGGUUACCAUAUAGAAUCCUGGGACUGUGAAAAUAAUGGCCAGACACCGGCCUGGUUCAAACAAUAGCGUUAACUGUUUAUUAACAAGUUUAACUUAUGAGAAACAUGUCGCAAAAAUCUCCUUGUUUGCUCCUACAGAACAGGAUCUGAAAACGACCCUUCUGAGACAGGAAGAGAAGCCAACUCUUCUCCGCCACGAGAGUCACUAGCGGUCUCCCAGACUUGGGAGAGACACCACGUCUCUCUAGGCUAUGGUUCUUUCCAGUGUUCUGAGAUGCCACGUGGAACCCAGGGUUGUACAACUGUGGACCCAGCUUCCUCAGAUCUCCGCCCCCUCGCCUGCGACAACUGCAUCCUUUAACCCCUUGAAGAACCCGACAGAAGCUCAGUUCUCCCUAGUCCUGGUCCAGUCUAGCUUUCCGUCCAACUCCUGGCACGCGCGCAUCUCAACCAACCAAUAGCUAGAUGUGGCGCAACAGACGUCACAGAAUCCUAGAGAAAGGCGGCGCAUUCCAAUUAGAGUGUCAUUGUUUCUAUUGGCACAAUGGGAGACCCCGCCCCUCUCGGAGGACUCCAUUGUAUGCGGGAGGUAGGAGGGCCUCGCGGGUUCCACGCUAGCCAGCAGAAAUAAUCCAAAAGACGCGCUAUAUUGAUCAGCCUCCAAACUUGGCAUCGGUGAUGAGCUGCAACGCAAGGUGCAGGGGACUCAUUCAUUCUGACACCGAGACAGGAGUCAGGCCUAGGACCCCAGAACAUUGCCCUGGGUGCGGUUCCCCCGGCUGAGUGGUUACUACUUCAAACAGUCCAAGAACUCCUGGCCAAGACCUCUGGCCCGCCCCCAAAUGGUAGCUAUGACAUCACCAGCAACCAAUCAACGCAUUCUCUCGCUCCUGGGUUUCUUUGCUUCGGGGAGGUUUGGCUCACUCGGGUUGCACUGGACGAGGCUGCUGUGAUCUGACCCAUGGGUAUCAGCUGUAGUGUUUGGGGUCGUUAAGUCUUAAGACUCAAGUCAGAGUUCCGUGACAGAUACACCAUUUGUGCGUGUAGGUGGACUAUGUACAGCGGCACUAAAGAAAGUACUCCGUAGGAUUGUAGUUCCUGACUAGAGAAGAGAGGAGCGGGACCUGGUUUUGAAGCGCCCGCCGCUCUGUGGGUCCACAGACUAGCUAGUGGAAAGCGCAAAUCUCAGGUUGAACAAGGAGGAAACCAGCUGGAAUCACAGAGGAGACCCCUGAAUGACCUUAGGGAUCUGGACUUCCGGGCUGGUGACUGGCCUCCACCUUUGACGUCUCCGUGGCGUCUACUAGAGACGACAUUCGAGGCGGCUGCGGGCGUGAGACUGUCUCCCACUUUUCCCCCGUUUGUGGCUGCUGUUGGUAAGCCGUUCCCUCACCUUGUUUUCUCACAUAUCCUCACUUCUGUGUCCAACCCACAGUAGUCGCUCCCAAUGCACUUCCUGGAAAGAGAAAAAUGAGGAGCCUAAAGGAGGUUCAGCUGGUGAAGGUGCUUGGUGUCCAAGCUUGAACGCCCGAGUUUGAUCCCUGGAUCCCAUGUAAGAGUGGAAGACCGACCCCACAAAGUUGUCCUCUGACAACCAUCCACACUUUCAAAUGAAAUGCUGUUGGUUCCUCCCUCUGCUUCCAAGACCAGCUUUGUCCCUACCUCCUAGGAACAAGUAAGACCUCCAGGUGGCCUUCUCAAUAGUUCCAAUUGCAGGGUCUACGCAGGUCUCAGAGACGCAGAUUUGAUGUGAGGCAAGACCAGACAGUAGUGAUGAGAGCUUCACGGGACCUAUCUUUUCUGUUAGAAUUUCCUUGUAGAAUGUGUGCACAUUCUGCACAUCAAGGCCCUGAGCUCAAUCCCCAGCACCAUAAACAAAAGAGAGACUCUGGUCUUGAUGUGGGGUCACAGACCUUUAAUCCUAGCACCCAAGAGACAGAGACUGGUAGAUCUCUGAGUUUGGGACCAGCCUUCGCUACAUAGUAAGAUCCUGUCUCAAAACAAAACAAGCACACAUAGAAUACUGGCUGUAUCUCCUCAGCUUUUCACUGGGCUAUAACCAAACUCAAAGUAGAACAUACUAUAUCUCACAUGUGGAGCUGUUGAGGACUGCUGUGGAAAAACACAUAAUUGUGUUAAUUGGUCUCAUUUUACAUGCAUGGCCACAGCGUUAGUAUGUUAGAGGACCUAGGCAAUCAGUGUGGUAGGGCAAGAAAACCAAUUGAAAAGAAUAUGGAGGUUAAGAUGGAAAAAUCGUGUCCACAGUCAAUAUGAUUGUGUAAGUAAAAAAAAAAUCCAAAGAAAGGGUGAGCACUUAGUGGAGUGCUUGCUUCUGUCUGAAGCCCUGGGGUAGAUCCUCAGCCCUGAACACACCAGCUGUAGCAGGCAGGCCUGGGAUCCUAGCACUCAGGAGGUAGAGGAAGGACGGUCAGAAGUUCAAGGUCUUCAGACACAGAGUUACCUGAGGGCCUGUUCUAAAAAUAAAAUUUAAAAAUCCAAGGGA